UGUUGGCCCCACUCGCCUCCUCCCCGGCUCCCGGAGGGGCUCGGGCAGCAGCCGCCACCGACCGGCCUCUCUCCUCCCUCCUCGCCCGCUUCGCUCCCUGCCGGGGCGCGGAGAGCCCCAGGGAGGCGACGGGGCCGGAGCGAGCCCGGCUGCCCCUGCCCCAGCCCCUUCUCCUGCCCCAGCCCCUUCUCCCGCCCCUGCCCUUUCUCCUGCUCCUGCUCCUGCCCCCCGGGGACCAUGGGAUGCUGCACCGGGCGCUGCACCCUGAUUUUUCUCUGCACUUUGCAGCUGCUUGCUGCAUUAGAGAGGCAAGUGUUCGAUUUCCUGGGAUACCAGUGGGCCCCUAUCCUAGCCAACUUCCUGCACAUCAUCAUCGUCAUCCUUGGCCUGUUUGGCACUAUUCAGUACAGACCUCGCUACAUCGUGGUGUAUGCCAUCUGGACUGCAGUUUGGGUCACCUGGAACAUCUUCAUCAUCUGCUUUUACUUAGAAGUGGGAGGGCUCUCAAAGGACAGUGAACUCCUGACAUUCAACAUCUCCCGGCACCAAUCGUGGUGGAGUGAAAACGGUCCUGGCUGUGUAAGGAAGGAGGCUUCCGUGUCUGGCAUCAAAGGGCUGGACAGCCACUCCUACAUCUCCGUGAUAGGCUGUGCCCUGGAGUACCGGUACAUCGAGGUCAUGCACAGCUCCUUCCAGAUCCUGAUCGCGCUGGUGGGCUUUGUCUACGCCUGUUACGUUGUUAGUGUUUUUACAGAAGAAGAAGACAGCUUUGAUUUCAUUGGUGGAUUUGAUCCAUUUCCUCUCUACCAUGUCAAUGAAAAACCCACCAACCUUUUGUUCAAGCAGACAUACCUGUAGACUUUUUCCCAAACAAUUUGCUGAAUACCAACAGGAAUUUGCAAACUGUUUUGAUCAGCCUGAAGCCACAUAUUUAAGAGGCCUGCAUAAAUAAAAAGGAGCCAGAGGAUGGAUAAACCUUGCACUCCACCUUCAACGGUGCUGCAGGAAAAAAUCCCCUGUGGCCUCGAUCUUUGGCAGAGGAAAUGCAGGAUGGUAAACUCCAUUCCACUUUUUGUUCCUUGUCUUCUUCUCAAAUGCAAUGAAUGUACAUUGAAGGAUGGUCAUGUGGCUGGUUUUUAAUUCUCCAAGUGCCCUGAUGAACCAUUCCUACUGUAGCCUGGUGGUACCAGCCAAUAAACAGCACAGGCCUGAAGACCUCAGGCAGAACAAGUUCACCAAGAGCCUCUCUCAAGAGAUACAGUUGAAGUCAGAGCUGCUUCCUUGUGCCAUGGAUCUGUAAAGAAGGAAGCAUUGCAUAACACCCUGGGACAUUUCAGACCUUUUGUAGUAGUUAUUUUUUUUUUCCUUCUCCUUUCCCUUGUUCUGAAGGGCCUAAAUCCCCUAACACAACUUCAUCUCCUCCCUACCUGUGUAGAACUAGGUGGGGGCUAUUUACAUUUCAGUUAUCUAGGCUUUUUUUUUUUUCUUUUUAAGUUAUAGAUGAGAGCUCUUCCCUACUUCCCCCUGCCCAUCCAGGACUUCCUUCCUCAUUGUGUUCUCUUUAGGCAAUCAGAGCCUUAGCAAUAGGCAUUUGUCCUGGAUUUCAAUGUUCUGUGACUCAAUCCUGCAAUGCUGAGUGGCUACAGACUAGUACAAGUACCAAAUCUUCACUCAGCACAGAGUUUAGCCCCAUUUCAACAUGCCAAGCCAUUCCCAGAAUAGCUGUAGCUUACUCUGGAUUUGCCCAUUUACAUUAACUUUACACCAGUAGUCAUAUAUACAGCUGAAACCUGAUCCAGGACACUGGAAAACGCCUAGUUCUUCACAACCUACUGAUGGUUUUGUGCCUGUCUGCUUCACUGAGCUUAUUCCAGGCACAAGCCUGGCAACAUUCUGAUGGAAGGGGGGUUUUGUGACAAGUUAAUUUUAAGGGAAGGGAAUGGGAUGAAGGAAAGGGGGAAUAUAAGUGUAAUUAAGUUGCAUUAAUGAGCUGCAGCAAUUAAUAAAAAAAAAAACAAACAACAACAAACAACUGUCAGUUUUGUUAGCUACUUCUCCCAGCACAUUGUGUCAAGCAGAGAAGGAGCACUUGUCAUCCAUGGAGUUCUUUGGCUGGUACCUUCCAAGUGUUAUUUUAAUUGUUUUGUCUUGCCUGAUCUGGUUGACAUUAAUUGGCAUUUCUGAAUAAUUCUUUCAGAAGACUCAAGCCAGAAGCCAUGCUAGGGAAGGGAACUGUGAGGGAAGAAUUAAAAGAAAUAAAAACACUAAGUGCUAAGUCAA